GGCCUACGGGGCGCAGCAGUGAGGAAUAUUGGUCAAUGGACGGAAGUCUGAACCAGCCAUGCCGCGUGCAGGAAGACGGCUCUAUGAGUUGUAAACUGCUUUUGUACAAGGGUAAACCUGAAUACGUGUAUUCAGCUGAAAGUACUGUACGAAUAAGGAUCGGCUAACUCCGUGCCAGCAGCCGCGGUAAUACGGAGGAUCCAAGCGUUAUCCGGAUUUAUUGGGUUUAAAGGGUGCGCAGGCGGCGAGUUAAGUCAGCGGUAAAAUUUCGGGGCUCAACCCCGACGAGCCGUUGAAACUGGCUU
rnacentral:rRNA from 1 species